UACGGGGGGGGGGUAAGCGUUGUUCGGAAUUACUGGGGCGUAAAGGGCUCGUAGGCGGCCAACUAAGUCAUACGUGAAAUCCCUCAGCUUAACUGGGGAACUGCGUGUGAUACUGGAUGGCUUGGAUUUGGGAGAGGGAUGCGGAAUUCCAGGUGUAGCGGUGAAAUGCGUAGAUAUCUGGAGGAACACCGGUGGCGAAGGCGGCAUCCUGGACCAAUACUGACGCUGAGGAGCGAAAGCCAGGGGAGCAAACGGG
rnacentral:rRNA from 1 species